rnacentral:rRNA from 1 species
AACCUGGUUGAUCCUGCCAGUAGUCAUAUGCUUGUCUUAAAGAUUAAGCCAUGCAUGUCUAAGUAUAAAUAGUAUACAGUGAAACUGCGAAUGGCUCAUUAAAACAGUUAUAGUUUAUUUGAUAGUGCACAUUACAUGGAUAACCGUGGUAAUUCUAGAGCUAAUACAUGCGCAAAUACCUGACUCACGAAAGGUAGCAUUUAUUAGAUUUAACCAUCAUAUGGUGAAUCAUAGUAACUUGGCGGACCGCGCUCCGGCGUGGUAAAUCAUUCAAGUUUCUGCCCUAUCAGCUUUCGAUGGUAGUGUAUUGGACUACCAUGGCAGUCACGGGUAACGGAGAAUUAGGGUUCGAUUCCGGAGAGGGAGCCUGAGAAACGGCUACCACAUCUAAGGAAGGCAGCAGGCGCGUAAAUUACCCAAUCCCAAUUCGGGGAGGUAGUGACAAGAAAUAACAACCUGAGUGGUUCGCCACUUCGGGAUUGCAAUGAGAUAAGUCUAAAUCCGUAAGCGAUUACCAAUUGGAGGGCAAGUCUGGUGCCAGCAGCCGCGGUAAUUCCAGCUCCAAUAGCGUAUACUUAAGUUGUUGCAGUUAAAAAGCUCGUAGUUGAAAAUCGAAUCAGCUUCAUUAUGGCUUCGGUCAUACUUGUUAGCUGGUUCUCCGUCUACAAACCUUUUUGCUCUUUUACGAGUGCAGCUUGGAGAGUAGACAAUUUACCUUGAAAAAAUUAGAGUGUUCCAGGCAGGUCUUCGCCGGAAUACAUUAGCAUGGAAUAAUGGAAUAGGACUAUGGUCUUUUGUUGGUUUUAGGGCCAGUGUAAUGAUUAAUAGGGACAGAUGGGGGCAUUAGUAUUUAAUUGUCAGAGGUGAAAUUCUUGGAUUUAUUAAAGACUAACUUAUGCGAAAGCAUUUGCCAAGGAUGUUUUCAUUAAUCAAGAACGAAAGUUAGGGGAUCAAAGACGAUCAGAUACCGUCGUAGUCUUAACUAUAAACUAUACCGACUCGAGAUCGGAAGGUGCUCAAUAAGGCCCUUUCGGCAUCGUAAGAGAAAUCAAAGUCUUUGGGUUCUGGGGGGAGUAUGGUCGCAAGGCUGAAACUUAAAGGAAUUGACGGAAGGGCACUACCAGGAGUGGAGCCUGCGGCUUAAUUUGACUCAACACGGGGAAACUUACCAGGUCAAAACAUGGAUGGGAUUGACAGAUUGAAAGCUCUUUCUUGAUUCUAUGGGUGGUGGUGCAUGGCCGUUCUUAGUUGGUGGAGUGAUUUGUCUGGUUAAUUCCGAUAACGAACGAGACCUUAACCUGCUAACUAGUUUGUACCUAAAAAAGGUAUAUAUCUUCUUAGAGGGACUAUGUAUGUUAAAUGCAUGGAAGUUUAAGGCAAUAACAGGUCUGUGAUGCCCCUAGAUGUCCUGGGCCGCACGCGCGCUACACUGACACGUUCAGCGAGUUUAAUCUCCUAUCUCGAAAGGGUAUGGGAAAUCUUGUUAGGACGUGUCGUGCUGGGGAUAGAUCUUUGCAAUUAUAGAUCUUGAACGAGGAAUUCCUUGUAAGCACAGGUCAUCAGCCUGUGCUGAAUACGUCCCUGCCCUUUGUACACACCGCCCGUCGCUCCUACCGAUUUCGAGUGAUGUGGUGAACUAUCUGGACUGUGGACGGGCUUGAACCGUUCGCGGGAAGUUUCGUAAACCUUAUCACUUAGAGGAAGGAGAAGUCGUAACAAGGUUUCCGUAGGUGAACCUGCAGAAGGAUCA